AUGGAGAAGUCCAGAAUGCCAGUGAGAACACAAUAAAAAAACUCUGGUAGCAUAAGGAUGAGCUGAGACCAACUCUCAUUUGCACUCCAGUGUUCAUCUGGAGACAACACAAAUGAGACUCAGGAACAGAGCCCAAGUAUGCCUCUCUCACCAUUUUCUGGGAAACUUCCCUGGCAUCAGCCUCUUUAUAAGCAGAAACAGGAAUUUUCUGUCUCUCAGAAUGCCGAGGGCUGAGGAUAAGCAGUUAAUCAAAAAGUCAUGCGGAAACCAGUAAAAAAUAAGGCUCCAGGUGUUGACUUGAUCUCUUAGACUAUCUUUCAGAGGAUGACUCUUCAUCUAAGCUUCAAAGACUGUGAACUACAUCAUUACCAGCCAGGACAAGAGGAAGCUUUCUGCCACACUGCACGUCCAGUAGAAGGUAUCCUUUUAAUAUCAUUUUAUCACUAAAGUUGCCCAAUAUGCUGGAAUCUAUUUAGACUCUUUAAUGGAGCUGUUUGCCUUUUUUAAUGCCUUUCCCCCAUCUGCUUUACUUUCAUGUGCCUGGGAUUAGCAUAAAGAAUCAGACAGACUGCAAACUUGACAAAUGUGUUAUGCCUUGAUUUUGAACUGCUGUGAAAAUCUGGGUUUGGAGUAUAUUGUUAAAGCCACUGGGCUCUGUCCCGAGUUGCCCACCUGCCUAUCCACCACUAGGCAACCAGCAUCUGGAGUAGACAGUACACAGCAUGCCUAACUGUAGGUGGGGGAGGUUCUCUUUGAUAUAACUCAGCUGUGACACUGUGGAGACAAAGUAUAUCACACACAUACAUGGAUAAGACAAUACUUUCAUAUUCCAUUUUUUACCUUUCAAUAGUACUGAAAAAAAAAUGUUAAGAAAUUCUACAACAUCUUUUCCUUUUUGGGUCUCCUUCUUUCCUUCCACCCUGGCUCAUUUUCGCAGCUUAGAAAUUUCACAAAUAGCUCACACACUUGCAGGGGUUGGGGGAGUAGGGAAGGUCCUGCCAAAACCAUUUCGCAGCUGGAGAGCGAGGGUGAGAUGACAUUUGUUUACAUCCUUCUCUUGAGAAGCAAAAACAGUUUCCAGGCUUUGAAACAGUUGGAAGAGGGACCCUAUCAGGCUUUCUAUAAUUCAGUGUUGCUGGCUUCAGGAUUUUUUGUUUGUUUGUUUUCCUAUUCAUGCACAGUAUAUUCAGGAACACUUGCUGGUUCAUGUUGGGGAGAGGGUCAACCACUGCAGAUAAAAAUGGACUACUGUCUGUGCAGACUCCACAAUUAUUUCUAGUCCUCCUCAUUAUGCAUGUACUUUGAUAACCUGGGCUUGGGGAAACACAGGAGCUCUGCUUGCCGAAGUUGGUCUCUCUCUUGAUCACCUUG